rnacentral:lncRNA from 1 species
AGGGGUGAGUGUGAGCCUUGGCGCAACGGUAAGGUUGUUCUAUUAUGCCCUAGAGGUUAUAGAUUCGAAACACAGAAACGACCUCUCCAUACAUAGGGGUAAGGCUGCAUAUAUCUUGCCAUCUCCAAAUUCCACAUUGACAAAAGCCUCAAUUUGGAAUAUCGUAUGGGAAGCCUUAAUUCCCAUGCUUAAGACAUGAAUUGCAUGCUUCACAGAAUGUGCUUCGCACUGGUUUUGAAUUUGGCUUCACGGAAACCUAUGUUGAUGCACAUUUUUGGACAUCUAUGGCUUAAUUGUUAUUUUUGAUCUUUCAGAA